rnacentral:lncRNA from 1 species
UCUCUAAUCUCUCUCUCUCUCUUAGAUCAGAUCUAAGGAGAAGUUGGGACAUUGGGAUGAAGAAGGGAGGAAAGGAAGGCAUGGAUAAAGAGAUGUAGCAAGAAAAAACUCACACCCAUCUUCAUCAUGCACGCACACCUCUUUUCUUCUUUUAUUUUGUCCCACAAAACACUCCAACUCCCCCUUCUAGAUAUAGAUAAGAUUCUCUUCCUUUUUUGAAUUGAAUUCAAAAAGAAAGCAAAGUCUAAAAGG